CGCCCCAGCGAGUAAGGACUAGGUCUUCUAUUUCUUUCCUGCAUCCCUCCUCCUCACCCUGCUCUGUGUCUAGAAGAGAGCUGAACACGCAGUAGAACACAAUAAAUUAUAUUCAAAUGGCAGUCAAGGAGGAAACUUUCCUUCCUCAUCAACAAAGCUGAUCGAUGGGCACUGAAGCCCCAGGGAAGCAGCAUCUGUUGUAACUCAAGGAUCCCGGCUUGAGCUGAGAAUGAAAUUAACAGGCGCAGAGUGGUUGGCAGCCCAACAUUUGUGCAAGUCUGGCACAUGCACACAUCAUUAGCAACUAUGCUGGAGAAGAAUGAUCAAGGAGCUCUGUAGCCUCGUCUCUCCCAGCUGCCACCUGGGAAUGGGGACCUGUCGUGGAAUCCUGGUCUGGGCUAGAGAGUGCUCCCAGUUCAAACCCUGCGGGGACUACAGGACCAUGAAGAGGAGAGACUGGAACAGGGAAUCCAGGAGCUCUUCCUUCAGCCCUGGUGCUAAGGCGGUCUUCCUGAUGUCUCCCAAACCACACACCUUUACCUCAGGUAACUUUGAACUUGUUGACUUUGCACAAAUUACUUCCGCAUUUCGCUC